rnacentral:rRNA from 1 species
AUACGGAGGGGGCUAGCGUUGUUCGGAAUUACUGGGCGUAAAGCGCGCGUAGGCGGUCCGCGUAGUCAGGCGUGAAAGGCCUGGGCUCAACCCGGGAACUGCGCUUAAAACUGGCGGGCUAGAGUCCGGGAGAGGGUGGCGGAAUUCCCAGUGUAGAGGUGAAAUUCGUAGAUAUUGGGAAGAACACCAGUGGCGAAGGUGGCCACCUGGCCCGGUACUGACGCUGAGGUGCGAAAGCGUGGGGAGCAAACAGGAUUAGAAACCCCAGUAGUCC